CCCACAGGCCGUAAACCCAAGGUUUCCAGGGGAAGGGUGGUCCGCCCUGGGUUAGGCGGGACCGAAGCUGAGGCCGAAAGGCUGAGGUGAUGGACAACAGGUUGAUAUUCCUGUACUACCGAUAACCGUUUGAGAGAAGGGAUGACACAGUAGGAUAAGCUAAGCAAACUGUUGGUUAUGUGUGCCCAAGCAUUGAGGCAGUCAAAGUAGGCAAAUCCGCUUUGAUAAUGCUGGGAUGUGAUGGGGAGCGAAAUUUAGUAGCGAAGUAGCUGAUUUCACACUGUCAAGAAAAGUCUCUAUCGAGGUUAAAGGUACCCGUACCGCAAACCGACACAGGUGGGUGAGGAGAGUAUCCUAAGGCCA
rnacentral:rRNA from 1 species